ACUGAUGAAGGCGAUUACCAGGUAAAACUACGCAACCUGCGUCGCUUCAUUGAAGAGGGUGACAAAGCUAAAGUAACGCUGCGCUAUCGUGGUCGUGAAAUGGCGCAUCUUGACAUUGGUAUUGAUAUGUUAAAUCGGAUUAAAGAAGAUUUAUCAGACAUUGCCUUGUGCGAAUCUUUCCCUUCACGGGUGGAAGGUCGCCAGAUGAUCAUGAUGCUGGCCCCAAAUAAGAAGUAAUAGGUGCUUUCAAGUGUAACCCCGCACUGCAAAGUGUGGGGUUAACGCCUUAUUAUUCGUUGUAACUUAACAAUGCGAGUUUUUAACUAUGCCAAAGAUGAAAA
rnacentral:misc_RNA from 1 species